GCUCACAUUGUGUUUACUGCUACUCGUCAAAAAAUACAUUUUUAUCUUAAAUUUCCACUCACCAUAGUCUUCACGUUUACUUAGGCUGAGCCACGAAAAAGGAAAAGAAGACUGCCGCAUAUUUAACAUUUUGCUAUCCAUAUUUCAUAAAAAUGUAUAUUACUAUUCUAUAUUUUUAAUAGCUAGACACUUAUAACCUAAACUAGCUCAUCAAAUUCGUGCUGAUAGCGAAUUGUAGUAAAUAUUUUAAUAUUUUUAGAAUAAAACUAUUGUUUGACUUCUC